rnacentral:rRNA from 1 species
GAUGAACGCUGGCGGCGUGCCUAAUACAUGCAAGUCGAGCGAACAGACGAGGAGCUUGCUCCUCUGACGUUAGCGGCGGACGGGUGAGUAACACGUGGAUAACCUACCUAUAAGACUGGGAUAACUUCGGGAAACCGGAGCUAAUACCGGAUAAUAUAUUGAACCGCAUGGUUCAAUAGUGAAAGACGGUUUUGCUGUCACUUAUAGAUGGAUCCGCGUCGGAUUAGCUAGUUGGUAAGGUAACGGCUUACCAAGGCGACGAUGCGUAGCCGACCUGAGAGGGUGAUCGGCCACACUGGAACUGAGACACGGUCCAGACUCCUACGGGAGGCAGCAGUAGGGAAUCUUCCGCAAUGGGCGAAAGCCUGACGGAGCAACGCCGCGUGAGUGAUGAAGGUCUUCGGAUCGUAAAACUCUGUUAUUAGGGAAGAACAAAUGUGUGAGUAACUAUGCACGUCUUGACGGUACCUAAUCAGAAAGCCACGGCUAACUACGUG